rnacentral:rRNA from 1 species
UACGGAGGGUGCAAGCGUUAUCCGGAUUUACUGGGUUUAAAGGGUGCGUAGGUGGGUCUGUAAGUCAGUGGUGAAAUCUCCGAGCUUAACUCGGAAACUGCCAUUGAUACUAUAGGUCUUGAAUUAUCUGGAGGUAAGCGGAAUAUGUCAUGUAGCGGUGAAAUGCGCAGAUAUCAGGAGGAACACCGAUGGCGAAGGCAGGUCUCUGGGCAUUAACUGACGCUGAGGAGCGAAAGCAUGGGGAGCGAACAGG